ensembl:lncRNA
GGGGACAUCAGUGGGGGUGGUGGCAUUGGGGACAGCAGUUUGGGGACACCCCUUGGGGACAGCAUUGGGGACAGCAUUGGGGACAUCAGUGGGGACAGCAGUGGGGAACCCCAUUGGGGACAGCAGUGGGGACACCCCUUAAGGACACCUCAUGGGGACACCAUUGGGGACAUCAGUGGGGAACCCCAUUGGGGACAGCAGUGGGGACACCCCUUAAGGACACCCCAUGGGGACACCAUUGGGGACAUCAGUGGGGACAUCAUUUGGGGACACCCCUUGGGGACAGCAUUGGGGAACCCCAUUGGGGACAUCAGUGGGGACAGCAUUUGGGGACACCCCAUGGGGACAGCAUUGGGGACAGCAUUGGGGACAUCAGUGGGGAACCCCAUUGGGGACAGCAGUGGGGACACCCCUUAAGGACACCCUAUGGGGACAGCAUUGGGGACAGCAGUGGGGACAUCAGUUUGGUGACGUCAUCAGCAUUGGGGACAGCAUUGGGGACAUCAGUGGGGACAUCAGUGGGGACAUCAGUGGGGGCAUUGGGGACAUCAUUGGGGGCAUUGGGGACAUCAGUGGGGGUGGUGGCAUUGGGGACAUCAGUUUGGGGACACCCCUUGGGGACAGCAUUGGGGACAGCAUUGGGGCCAUCAGUGGGGCCAUCAGUGGGGAACCCCAUUGGGGACAGCAGUGGGGACAUCCCUUAAGGACACCCUAUGGGGACAGCAUUGGGGACAUCAGUGGGGAC